CUUCUUAGCCGGCCCGACGCCGCCGCCCACCUUCGCCUCCCACUUCCGGCUCGGCCGGGCCCGGUCGCCACUUCCGGCCGCUCUCCUGGGACGCGCUCACUGCGGACGCGCUCACCUGCCUGGGGCGCCGGGGCACCAGGAUUGAAGGACCGGCUGGAGCAGCUGAAGGCCAAGCAGCUGACACAGGAUGAUGAUGCCGAUGAAGUCGAGAUUGCCGUUGACAACACAGCCUUCAUGGAUGAGUUCUUCUCUGAGAUCGAGGAAACUCGGCUCAACAUUGACAAGAUCUCUGAGCAUGUAGAGGGGGCUAAGAAACUCUACAGUAUCAUUCUGUCUGCACCAAUUCCAGAACCAAAAACCAAGGAUGACCUAGAGCAGCUCACGACUGAAAUCAAGAAAAGGGCCAACAACGUCCGGAACAAACUGAAGAGCAUGGAGAGGCACAUUGAAGAAGACGAGGUCCGCUCAUCUGCAGACCUUCGUAUUCGAAAAUCCCAGCACUCUGUCCUCUCCCGGAAGUUUGUGGAGGUGAUGACCAAAUACAAUGAGGCUCAAGUGGACUUUCGUGAACGCAGCAAAGGGCGAAUCCAGCGGCAGCUCGAAAUCACCGGCAAGAAGACCACAGAUGAGGAGCUGGAGGAGAUGUUGGAGAGUGGAAACCCUGCCAUCUUCACUUCUGGGAUCAUUGACUCUCAGAUUUCCAAGCAAGCCCUCAGUGAGAUCGAGGGACGGCACAAAGACAUCGUGAGGCUGGAGAGCAGCAUCAAGGAGCUCCAUGACAUGUUUAUGGACAUCGCCAUGCUGGUGGAGAAUCAGGGCGAGAUGUUAGAUAACAUAGAGUUGAAUGUCAUGCACACAGUGGAUCACGUGGAGAAGGCACGGGAUGAAACUAAAAAAGCCGUGAAAUACCAGGGGCAGGCCCGGAAGAAGUUGAUAAUUAUCAUUGUGGUAGUAGUUGUGUUGCUGGGCAUUUUAGCAUUGGUUAUUGGACUUUCCGUUGGGCUGAAAUAAGGGCGGCCCAAGAGGCUGCUGCACUGAAAUGUAUUUCUGAUCUUUCCUCUCCACCUUCUAGGUUUGUGGCUGAUUCUUAAUGUUGCCCUUCAACAUCAUCCUGUGCACUGAUCAGCUCCUCCUUCCCCUGCCUCCCUUAGAGCCCGAUUCUACUCCAGCCUGGUGUGGCCACCUUGUCUUCAGAUGGGAAUGGAGUUUGAAUGGCCUUCCCGAAAGAGGAUGGGACCCAUUUCUUUGUUUCCUGUAACCAUCCUUGGACCUGACGCAGCAAACCAUCUAGCCCUGGAGGAGUCUAAUCUACCUGAUGCAACCCUGUGUUUUCCUCAAAACCUGCAGUGUCUGAACCAGCCUGGCUUCUCUUUUUUCCCUCUACUGUGUCAAAUUUUUGCCUUGCACCUUGGAAAGCCAAUUAUUCAAAAUCUUCCCAAGGUGCUGUAUUUCUACCUCAUGGACUGUCAUUCUUCUCCCAGAAAUUGCAUUGUAUCUUUCCUAGGAGGGUUUCUUUAACAAAGCAAAGGGAUUCUUUCCAAUAGUAAGGUUUGGACUUGAGUCUUCUACCUGGCAGGUUCCCAGUCCUCACAGUUUGUUGUCCCUGUGUCCUGAAAAUAUGAGGGAUUGGCAGAUGUCAUUUUGGUCUGAGAGCUGACUUGCUUGAAAUUCAGCCUUAAAUGAAGCUCUUAGUAUAUUUAGGUUAGUGGCCAACUUCGGUAUUUGUCUGUGUUGUAUUCUCUCAUGUUUACUGUAGGUGGCGCCAGUGUGAUGCAGUCAUCUGAGGUUACCAUUUAUGUAGGCUGAGGAGAUGGGAUAUUAGUUUUCAUGGCUGAGUCUUGGAAACUGGUUGCCCACUGUUAAGGGUGAUGCUUUGUGAAGCCACUGCCUUGAAGCCAAAUAUUUUUUACUUAAAAAAAUGUUUGGCAUUUAACAUUGAGCCAGGAACAAGGUGCUUGAGUCUUUGGCUCUGGAAAUGUUUCAGACUGGUGCCAGCAAUCCGUCACUCAUUUCAUGUGUUCCAGGUAAAUUUUUAUAAUUGGCUGAUGUAUAUAUCUCUUCAUGUGUCUCUCAUGAAGUAGGAAGCUAGAAGUGGAGAAUAUAACCUCAAAAAACAAACAACACAGACACACACACACACACACACACACACACACACACCACACCAAAAAUAAACAAAACCCAACAACCUCGAGCUAGGCCAAAAAUUAGGUAAGAGACAUUGCUUACCUGCAAAUGAGUCAUAGUAGAAGUAGGAUCUUUCCAUGUCAUGGAGAAGCCUGCUGGUUCUGGAUGAUGACUGGGAGAAUCGUAGGUCUUUGGGGUGAGGACUAAGUUGAUCUCCAUUAAGUUUUUUCUGGUUAGCAGAUAUGUGGAAAGUUUUGAAACCUUUCACUAUCUGCUGCCUAGGCUAGGCUUGCCCAGAGCAAUUUGAUAUCAUUUGUGUGACCUCUGGAAUGUCCUGUCUCCAGGGCCCAGUCUGUUGGGGGACACCAGGAACUACUGGGUAGCUCCUCCUUCUAUCAGGUUAAUAAGCUUGACAGGUGCUUUGUCUCCCAUAAUCUCAUCAGUGAGGAAGCAAUAGCUGGGAAAUUUUCAAGUGUCAUGACUGUGCUGGCCCAGUUUUGAGCCUCUUAGAUUCCCUGCUGGUCUCUGCCAGUCUGUCUGAUUUAUACUUCAGCAUUGAUUUUAAUGCUUUCUAGGGCAGGGCGAGCACCCUCAUCCAGGCACUGCCCAUUGGCUUCCUUUGUAAAAGCUACUUCCAGUCAUCGUCCAGCACUCAGACAGAGCCAAGGGGAUGCCUCUUGCCCAUGGCUAUGAAGUUGAAGUGGACUGGCUCUAACAGCAAGGCCAGACAAGCUCUAAUCACAGGCUUUUGCUCUCCUGAGAUUGAGGUCUGGGGCUUAUAGUUUGGAAUACAAUAUAAGUGAAGGUUUUUGUUGUUGUUUGUAUUUUUUAAAAAGUACACAUGAUUAUUUUAUUGCUAUUUAAAAAUAAAUGACUUUAUAUUGAUUGUGAAACCAGUUGUCUCAAUUUGCCUGCAAAAUACUUAGUGGUUGGGCGCCACCAUGUGGUGAGCUUAGGCUUUGGAAUGGGGUAUAAAUAUUUUUUAAACAUGUGCUGGGUGAGAUGGAUCCGAAGUUCUAAUUUUUGAAAAUGUUUCAACUCUCAAAGAGUGCAAUGUAAUUGUAUUUGAGUUUCAGAGUUGAGGUGCUCCCCCCAAAGAGUUUGGCCCACUCAUUGAGUGUAGUGGCUCUAGGAGGAUUUGGGGUAAAUCAGUGUGAUGGUACCUAGCUGGCAGCACAUACUACUAGUGAACAGCUAUCCUCCAAGAUAGCUGUUGACUGAAUUUGAAAUCUCUCACUUAGAAGGAACAUUCCUACACUCUGGGUUCUGGAAGCCAGAUCCAUCUCCCCUUUCCUUCAUAUCCCCUUACAUGUCCUGAUCCACGUUGUCUACCUUCCAUGGGAACUCUGUCUGCACAGUGAUGUUGUUUCUCAUGUGCUUUUUCUCUCUUUGUCUGGAUGAGCAGAAGAAGAUCAUGAUCAUGAUCUGCUGUAUCAUCCUUGCGAUCAUCUUAGCUUCUACCAUUGGGGGCAUAUUUGCCUGAAAAAGCCCUCACAGGUGGAUCCUCGACUGGCAUUUUUAAUCCUCCGUCCACCUCUGUGGUGCCAUCACUUCUCACUAAGGAUUCCUCAACAGUGACUCCUCUUUCCAUUAUGAAACCUCUUAUAACACAGGGCAUCAAACACCUACUGAAAGUUAUGCAAAGGGAGACAUUGUGACAAUACAGAGUUGGGCAGCGGGCAGUGAUGAAGGAACAGGGAGUACAGAAAUACGUAGCUGGUUUGAAGCAACCGACUGCAGGGUAACAGGCACCUCUUCAGGAAAUAAAAGCAGAUAUUGUAGCAUACCCAGUUCAUCGGGAUCAAUUGAUCAGGUUUGGGCACUUGUUACUUCUGCUCUUCAGGUUCUUCUAAGUCUCGCCUUUGACCAACCCUACAUCUGCUUCCUUCUUCAGGGCCCUCUAGUCUUUAAAGUGAAGUGCCUAAUGAUAGGCACCAGGCAUGUCUUGUUCACUGCUGUCCUCAGUUUUAGCACAGUGCAGGCCACUCAGAGGUGCUCCACUAUCUGUUGACUUAAUUACCUGUAACUAAACUCUGCUUUCUAUUCAUAAGUCUUUGGAUUUCACUCUUAAACCCAUUAAGCCACCAAUGGAAAAUGGUUUAUUAGUAUCAGAGGUUGCAUAAAAUGCCUGGAAUGGGUUGAUCUACUUAUGUAAAAACAAAACAGGAUCCCCCUUACAACUUAUACUGUAAAGUCCUUUCCCUAUGGAUGGUGGAGCCAUCAACAGUCUCUCACCCUGCUAAGAUGGUUGGUCCCAGGGUUGUGGUUUAAUAACUGAACAUGGAUCCAAAACAGGUUUAUACUUUGGUUGAACUCCUAAGUCAUCAAUAGUGUGCUCUAUGAAUCCUAAAGAAGGAGAUGAAGAUGUUAGGUCAGAAAGGUGAAGUGUGGCUAUCACUCACUUCCUUCUUACCCAAUCCACAUUGUUAACUGAAACUAUGCAGCAAUGUGUGUACAAGAAACUGUUCCAAACACUGUCCCCAAUUCAAGGUUCACAUUUGUUCUAUGCAAUUUAGUGAUAUUUCAAGUGAUUAAAAAUACAUUAAAAAUAGCAUACAACUUUUAAGGACCAUUCAACUGUUUACGUAAAUUUGUACUUUUGAAAGUAAAUUAUUUUCUUUGUGGGAGAUGUCAACUUUUUAAGAAAGUGGGAUAAAAAUAUUUGACAUUUUAUUCUACCCACUUUCAAAAGCAAAUGAUUUAAUGUUUCUAUCAAUUUGUAUUUCCUUUAGCAUGAAGAAUGGAUAGAGAAUUGCUGGCUAGUCCUGAAAAACAGAUUAAUCUUGGCAAAUGCAAAUAGGAAGCUGGAACCAUGGGGCCCUCAUUUAUACAGCAGUAACUAUUCAAGUCCUGUUGGCACACUGCACUGUACUAGAACCCACAGGGAUACAAAGAUAGAGCCAGGUACUCUUCCUCCUUAAACAGUUUCAGAUCUAGGAAAGGCCACACAAUUCUAACUUUUGUUUUUCAGUUCCUUUUGCUAAAAGGCAAGAGUGUGUUCCCAGUACCUGCCCCCAACCCCCAAGAUUGAGAGAAGAUGGGUAGCUGGGCAUGAGUAAAUAUUUGUUGAAUUAA